rnacentral:snoRNA from 1 species
UGCGAUUUUACUUCGUAGGAUCAUUUCUAUAGUGAACCGUCUCAUCUGGAACUCUGACCAGAGCCACAGAUUCUCCAACCUGGGGGAUGACCAUUAUCUCCUCGAGACCCAAGAGUGAAGCCGUUUAGCCCCUGCUUCGGCGGCGGUGGUGAUGAUCUUAACCCAAAUUCCCGUUAUCUUUUACUCUUCGGGGUAUGAUAGAUGGUGAGGGUGGGCCUUGAUGGAAGUCUGGCAGGU